GACUUUCAGAGAUCAUGGUUCAUCGGGAACAUUGAGACAGGUNCUGCAUGGUUAGUCGUCAGCUCGUGUCGUGAGAUGUUGGGUUAAGUCCCGUAACGAGCGCAACCCUUGUCCUUAGUUACCAGCACGUAAUGGUGGGCACUCUAAGGAGACUGCCGGUGACAAACCGGAGGAAGGUGGGGAUGACGUCAAGUCAUCAUGGCCCUUACGGCCUGGGCUACACACGUGCUACAAUGGUCGGUACAAAGGGUUGCCAAGCCGCGAGGUGGAGCUAAUCCCAUAAAACCGAUCGUAGUCCGGAUCGCAGUCUGCAACUCGACUGCGUGAAGUCGGAAUCGCUAGUAAUCGCGAAUCAGAAUGUCGCGGUGAAUACG
rnacentral:rRNA from 1 species